rnacentral:rRNA from 1 species
UACGUAGGGCGCAAGCGUUAUCCGGAAUUAUUGGGCGUAAAGAGCUCGUAGGCGGUUGUCGCGUCUGCCGUGAAAGUCCCGGGGCUCAACUCGGAUCUGCGGUGGGGUACGGGCAGACUAGAGUGAUGUAGGGGGAGACUGGAAUUCCUGGUGUAGCGGUGAAAUGCGCAGAUAUCAGGAGGAACACCGGUGGCGAAGGCGGGUCUCUGGGCCUAACUGACGCUGAGGAGCGAAAGCAUGGGGAGCGAACGG